GCCGGGAGAGUUGGUAGACUCCGACGUUGUAAAAAUCCCCGGGCUGUUCCCUCGUAGACAGUUGAAUGGCCUCUGCGAGAGCAGCUCUCCUUGCACGGCCCUAAGGGAUGUUAGGCACCGUUUCCAACUGACCGAUUACGCUCCUCCGCUCGUUCCCGGUUAUUUCGCUUGACUUGCGGACCUCGGCGUCCCUAAAACAUGCCAUAAAUUAGACAAUAAGUCGGGAACCAGUCUGUUAAGCGGAUCUUCUCUCCGGCCAAUAUCGAUUAAACCUGAUUGACCAUGAGACUCAAUCCCAACCGGAGAACAUAGAUAUGUUCUAUAAUCUUUUCUCAUUGUAGAUACAGUACUAUCGUCUUUUGAUAGAUGCCAUUUAAAGCGUUCUAUGUUGUUCGUUGUGAAUGUAUCUUAAGGACAGCCGAGUUAGUCUGGAACGGGCAGCGGUGGGAACUCAUCCUUGACUCGAUCGUCCUCUACGGUCUCCAUCUACGAGUCUUAGCCCCUGGAGAAAUGUACCAGGAUCUAGGAGGUUGGAGAACCGUGAAAGUAGGAUAGCUAGAGGGAGAUCAGAAGUCCUCUUCUCUGGAUUUUUCUUCCAGUGAAUAGAACGGAAAGCUGUCCGACAGAGAGGGAAGAAAAAUGCAGAUAGAGAGGUAGAGCAGGGGACAAAGGAAGAAAAAAGACAGGAAGUUGAGCGAAGCGAGGAGAAAGGAACGGAACAGCCGUGAAGUGGAAGAAGAGGAUGGAAAGCGGCUAACCCGGACAGGGACGCGGGGGUAGAGACGUAAUCACAGGGGCGUUGAAUUAGGGAUGCAUCCGAAGGGAGUGGGGAAUCCGACGAUGAAGGGGAAGGGGGCAGUCGACGGUAGAGGACCGGGGUCACCGCCAUAUUAUAUUUAGCGAGACGCAGCCGUGUGAAUGAACUGCAUAUCCCAGGGACGAGAGCGCGCGUUCUAGCAGACUCUUAUUUCGCGGGAUAUUCGGAGAAAUUGAUUAUGCGAGAGCCUAGUAAGUCCUUGGAACGAUUCUAAAUUCGUUACGAUCUCCGAGCAUGGAUCCUAAACCAGCAAGGAGUCAACUCUGUCUGGUAAAGACCACUUCUCGGUGUUUAUUCGCGUUCGAGUCGGAACAGUCAUCGACAACAGCGAAUGAGAGAAGCUGGACCAAUCUCUGGAUCGCGUAGACGCAAGCAAGGCCGCUAGCCGUGUCUAUGUUGUCUUUUCUGUUAAACAGACAAUUGGCAACUAUCUGUGCAAGCUGUAACAGCGGCUGGACUUUUCUAUCCUAUUAAAUAGAUGAUCGCAAACAUGGAAACAGGGACAAUGGGAAUACAAAAUGGCGCUCGAUAGAUUUGAAAUCCUUCAACUUAGAGCAAGUCGAAGGGCUUAUAGUAUUGAAAGGGGCAGAUGCGUUAAUGGGCAUUGUUUCCGCAUCAAAUGUGCUAAAAUGUUUAGGUUCAGAGUUCCCGGGAGGCUGAUUCACCACAGUGUAAUUCAGAUUGACAGUUAUAACUUAUAACUGACGGAACGGUCGUAACGUCCGGUGGGUGCAAGCUGCGACACAUGUUCCGAUAAAUGUCCAUUGUUCCCAGCGUCACCCUAUAAACAAUGCACGCUGCCUGCUCUGGAGCGAACUGCAAGGACCUAGCAGUGCUAAUUUGAAACGGUCCUCUCUGGAACUAGAGUUCUAUUAUCACUCGAGAGCCAUUAAAUCGACAGAGACAAUGCUAUCGGUAGGACAGAUCAUUUAAGAUUUUGAAACUAAAGCUUCAGCUGUGGCUUCAGUUGGAAACGAUUCUACUUGGAAUAGUUCUAUAAUAAUACAAUUACUAUUUCCGAUUCGGUGGAGGGUUCAGGCUGAAGAAGACAAGGUCGACGACUGAUAGAUAAUGGACUCAAUUGGAUCGAAAGUGGCUGAACAGGUGGAAGUGCAACCUGGCACUGCAGACGACUGACGCCACUGUGGCGUCAUUCGGUGCAGGAAUCGUCACCGAUGGAGAUCAUCCCUGGGAACAAUAUUCAGGGGCCUCAGGAAAUUCAGGAACGAAUUUCCGGCGAUCGUGAGAUCUCGGCCGACUGCACGCGCUCUAAUACCCUAAUCUAUCGACGGAGAUAAGCCGGAGAAGCGGUUUAUCCUGAGAGAGAAACAAAGGAAAACCUCGGGGAGAGUAGAUUGCGGUGAGGAGAGACAUUGCCACGGCACAUUUGAAUAUCCUGGCGAGCUCGCAUCGCCCGUAGAACUGGUCAAUCCUGUCCUGCGGGGACGAGAACCACGAACCAAAAAGGACUAGCCUGGAAGCGUGUACUCGUGUCCUGAGAAGCUAUUGGGCUAGCUGUGUGUAUCGGCCGAUGUCGAUGCCGAUCUGUACAUUCUAGAAAACCUAUAAAUCGGAUCGAGUUCAUGCUUCACAGGAACCUGAAGGAAUGCGAGAGCAGGUUGUUUUAGGGAUCAGGCUGUCUUGGAAAUUCUUGUCAUCGUUUACCGAUGUUUACCGGCGACGUAACGCGGGUUUGUCACGCCAUUAGGAACUUGAAGAUCUCCAUCUGGCUGUUGCAAUGCAGACCCAAUUCAUAAUACCAUGGUACUCGUUAUUCUCAACGUUAUCGAGAAGAGACAGGAUUAAGAGACAAGAUUAAAGAAUUGAUCAUAAUGACCUUAUACUCGAUUGUUUUCUGCAGUUUUAUUUAAAAUGCACAACGCUCCACCGUUUGCGGAAGCAGUGUUCUUUCAUCGACGGCCAACAGCCAUUGUUCUCCAAACCGACGCCAUUUUUAUUAGCGUGGAAUAUACCGCGCCUGGGCCACCUUGAGCGAUUAUUAAAAAUAGUGAUCAGCGAAAAUAAGAGCUUUCUAAAUUAUUAAAGAAUGCGAAGGUAAAGGAACCAACUUGGAAGCACAGCGAAAGGUCAGAGUUGCGAGGCGAAGAAUAGUAUG